AGAAAUGCUGUCUGUCACUGAUCCUCUGUGCUCCUCUCCCGCUACGGAGGAGGAGGAGGAUCCGCCGCUGACGGCCCCGUGCCAUCCAACGCGGGGCUCCGUGGGAGCGAGAGCAGAGGCAGCGCUUUCCCCCACUUUAGUCGUCUUUGCCGUCCUUUUAUGGCAUUCUGGCUCAUGGUGAAUGAAGGUUUUUCUACAACCAGUUUGAACCUCUGGCAUUCCCAUUUCCAUGUCUGGCUGUUUGAUGAUAAUGUUUUCUAUGAAGAAACUGCUUCAUUUCAUUUUCCUACAAAUGUGGUAGUCUUUGACUUAUAACCAUUAAUUUAAUGUGUGAUGUUAAAACGGCAUUGAAAAAAUUGACUUAUAACCAGUCCUUGCACUUAAAAUCAGUGCAGCAUCCUUAUGGUCAGGUACAGUAAUCAAUAUUCAGGUGCUUGGAAACCAGCACAUAUAUUUUAUACAAUAAUAAAAUAGCAGAGUUGGAAGGGAUCUUUGAGGUCUUC